UUUGGAUUGAAGGGUA
rnacentral:sRNA from 1 species